rnacentral:rRNA from 1 species
GAAGGAACUUUGAUAACUUUUAAAGACCUAGUUAAUAGGUAUGCUUUAGGAGGGGCUUGCGCCAUAUUAGUUAGUUGGUAGGGUAAUGGCCUACCAAGACGAUGAUGUGUAGCUGGACUGAGAGGUUGAACAGCCACAUUGGGACUGAGACACGGCCCAAACUCCUACGGGAGGCAGCAGUAGGGAAUUUUCGGCAAUGGAGGAAACUCUGACCGAGCAACGCCGCGUGAAUGACGAAGUACUUCGGUAUGUAAAGUUCUUUUAUCGAGGAAGAAAAGCAAAUGGCGAACCAUUUGUUUGCCGGUACUUGAUGAAUAAGCCCCGGCUAAUUAUGUGCCAGCAGCCGCGGUAAGACAUAAGGGGCAAGUGUUAUCCGGAAUUAUUGGGCGUAAAGGGUGCGUAGGCGGUCUAGUAAGUCAGUGGUGUAAUGGCAACGCUUAACGUUGUCCGGCUAUUGAAACUGCUAAACUUGAGUUAGAUAGAGGCGAGUGGAAUUCCAUGUGUAGCGGUAAAAUGCGUAAAUAUAUGGAGGAACACCAGAGGCGUAGGCGGCUCGCUGGGUCUUAACUGACGCUGAGGCACGAAAGCGUGGGGAGCAAACAGGAUUAGAUACCCUGGUAGUCCACGCCGUAAACGAUGAGUACUAAGUGUCGGGUUAAACCGGUACUGAAGUUAACACAUUAAGUACUCCGCCUGAGUAGUACGUACGCAAGUAUGAAACUUAAAGGAAUUGACGGGACUCCGCACAAGCGGUGGAUCAUGUUGUUUAAUUCGAAGAUACCCGAAAAACCUUACCAGGUCUUGACAUGUUUUUGCAAAAUGAUAGUAAUAUCGUGGAGGUUACCAGAAACACAGGUGGUGCAUGGUUGUCGUCAGCUCGUGUCGUGAGAUGUUAGGUUAAGUCCUAAAACGAGCGAAACCCUUAUCGUUAGUUGCCAGCACGUUAUGGUGGGGACUUUAACGAGACUGCCAAUGAUAAAUUGGAGGAAGGUGAGGAUCACGUCAAAUCAGCAUGCCCCUUAUGACCUGGGCUACAAACGUGAUACAAUGGCUGUUACAAAGGGUAGCUGAAACGCAAGUUCUUGGCCAAUCCCCAAAAACAGUCCCAGUCCGGAUUGAAGUCUGCAACUCGACUUCAUGAAGUUGGAAUCGCUAGUAAUCGCGAAUUCAGCAGACGGCGGUUGGCCUA